rnacentral:rRNA from 1 species
CCUACGGGUGGCAGCAGUGAGGAAUAUUGGUCAAUGGGCGAGAGCCUGAACCAGCCAAGUCGCGUGAAGGAUUACGGCCCUACGGGUUGUAAACCUCUUUUGUCAGGGAGCAAAUGCCUCCACGUUUGGUCUUUGCGAGUGUCCCUGAAGAAAACGUCUCGUCUAACCCCGCGCCAGCAGCCGCUGUAAUACGGAGGACGCGAGCGUUCUCCGGAUUUUUUGGGUGUAAAGGGUGCGUAGGCGGAAUAUCAAGUCAGCGGUAAAAAUUCGGGGCUCAACCCCGCCGUGCCGUUGAAACUGAGGUUCUUGAGUGGGCGAGAGGUAUGCGGAAUGCGUGGUGUAGCGGUGAAAUGCAUAGAUAUCACGCAGAACUCCGAUUGCGAAGGCAGCAUACCGGCGCACAACUGACGCUGAGGCACGAAAGCGUGGGUAUCGAACAGGAUUAGAUACCCUGGUAGUC